GAUGAACGCUGGCGGCGUGCCUAACACAUGCAAGUCGAACGGAAAGACGCUGAGCUUGCUCGUCGGACGGUAGCGGCGGGGGUGAGAGAAACACGUGUAUCCCGCACCUGUAAGUCUGGGAGCAACAGGUGAAUCCGGCUCUAAUACGGUCUGAGAUAUUGAACCGCAUGGUUCGAUGGAAAGUUUCGGCUGUGCGGUCUGUAAUAGCUGCUUCCGCGCUGGAUUAGCUAGUUGGUAAGGUAACAGCUUACCAAGGCGACGAUGCGUAGCCGACCUGAGAGGCUGAUCGGCCACACUGGAACUGAGACACGGUCCAGACUCCUACGGGAGGCAGCAGUAGGGAAUCUUCCGCAAUGGGCGAAAGCCUGACGGAGCAACGCCGCGUGAGUGAUGAAGGCCUUCGGAUCGUAAAACCCUGUUAGUAGGGAAGAACCGAUGUCUACUUAAAUAUGGAGGUAUUGACGGUACCUGAUCAGAAAGCAACGGCUAACUACGUG
rnacentral:rRNA from 1 species